UUAAGUUGUUGCGGUUAAAAGCUCGUAGUUGGAUUUCGGGCGUGGAGGUUCCGUCCGCCGUUUCGGUGUGCACUGUCUUUCUUCGUCUUUCUGUCGGGGACGCGCUUCUGGCCUUAAUUGGCUGGGACGUGGAUUCGACGAGGUUACUUUGAAAAAAUUAGAGUGUUCAAAGCAAGCUAAAGCUCUGAAUACAUUAGCAUGGAAUAACGCGAGAGGACUCGGUCCUUAUUUUGUUGGUCUUCAAGGAUAGAGUAAUGAUUAAGAGGGACAGUUGGGGGCAUUCGUAUUUCAUUGCUAGAGGUGAAAUUCUUGGAUUUAUGAAAGACGAACUUCUGCGAAAGCAUUUGCCAAGGAUGUUUUCAUUGAUCAAGAACGAAAGUUGGGGGCUCGAAGAUGAUCAGAUACCAUCCUAGUCUCAACCAUAAACGAUGCCGACUAGGGAUUGGCAGGUGUUACAUCGAUGACUCUGCCAGCACCUUAUGAGAAAUCAAAGUUUUUGGGUUCCGGGGGGAGUAUGGUCGCAAGGCUGAAACUUAAAGGAAUUGACGGAAGGGCACCACCAGGAGUGGAGCCUGCGGCUUAAUUUGACUCAACACGGGGAAACUUACCAGGUCCAGACAUAGUAAGGAUUGACAGAUUGAGAGCUCUUUCUUGAUUCUAUGGG
rnacentral:rRNA from 1 species